rnacentral:misc_RNA from 1 species
UCAAACUUGGUCAUUUAGAGGAAGUAAAAGUCGUAACAAGGUUUCCGUAGGUGAACCUGCGGAAGGAUCAUUAUAGAUUGUCGCGGUCGCGUACCGUGUACAUACCUACCAUUAACUCGUUGAACGAAAGUCGCUCGUUAUCAAUAUAAAAUAUUGAACGAGCGGUAGUGCAAUAAAGGCAGAGCGGUUGUCCCCGUCGAGGGGAUGACGAGAGCGGCCCCCUGUCUGCAUUUUCGCCUGGCGUGCCGUAAAAAGCACAAUACGCCAACAAGUUGCAUUGUGUAAUUUUAACAUUAAAAUAGUAAUGUAAAUAAAAGCACGACUGCAAACGGUGGAUCACUCGGUUCGCAGGUCGAUGAAGAACGCAGC